rnacentral:rRNA from 1 species
UACAUAGGGGGCAAGCGUUAUCCGGAAUUAUUGGGUGUAAAGGGUGCGUAGACGGGAAAUUAAGUUAGUUGUGAAAUCCCCAGGCUCAACUUGGGAAUUGCAACUAAAACUGGUUUUCUUGAGUACUGGAGAGGAAAGUGGAAUUCCUAGUGUAGCGGUGAAAUGCGUAGAUAUUAGGAGGAACACCAGUGGCGAAGGCGACUUUCUGGACAGAAACUGACGUUGAGGCACGAAAGUGUGGGGAGCAAACAGG